rnacentral:rRNA from 1 species
AUGAAGUCAGACAAGUGAACCCGCUGAAUUUAA